UGCAUAGUGUACACGGCUGUCACGUGACAAAAGAACGAACGACUUGGACCAGAAGACUCGAGAGAGAAAAGCGGCUUUAGUCCAGUAAGAUGAAAGAAAAUGAUCUGCAAAAAUUGACGACAACACACUCUCGUGGGAUUCUCUGUACUCCCCUCCCUUGGUCGGUGUGGCCUGAACCCUGACAUUUUACAUUCUUUACUUACUCUGUUCUGCAGUGAGAGAAUCUAACCAUCGAAGUGAGGUGAGGGAAAAGUCGAUGAGCCUUGCAGGUGCGACAACACUCACAGAGGGCAGACAAGAUGAGAAAACACCCUGCAGCCUUGGGUGGGAGUGAGGAUAUAUGUGUGUGUGUAUUUAAUCUCUGACUCCUUGUGUCUCACACACUCACACAGACACAAACAAAAACCGAGAUCUUCUUGAUUGCUCUUUUGACUGGCUUUGACUUGGACUUGGUCACACUAACAAAAAAGUACUAUAAUAUUACCAUGUUUUUGGACUUAUGCCAUGGUAAUACAAUGUUUUUUGGACAUGUAAUAUGUUUUUAAACAAGUAUCAUGGUAAUACCAUGUUUUUGGACAUGUACCAUAGUAAUACCGUGUCUUUUGACAAGUACCAUGGUACCUGUAUGUUUUUUUUUACAUUUACUAUGGUAAUACUAUGUUGUUGUUUUUUUUUUUUUUUUGUUUUUGUUUAUAAAUGUACCAUGGUUAUUUCAUGUUUUGGACAUGUACCAUGGUAAUAUGAUGUUUUUGGACAUGUUCUGUGGUGAUACCAAGGUUUUAUGAACAUGAACCAUGCUAAUACAAUGUUAUUUUGACGUACUAUUGUGAUGUUUUUAUUUAUAUAUUUUUUUACAUGUACCAUGGUUAUACCAUGUUUUUAAACAAGAACUGUACCAUGUUAAUAACCUACCAUUUUUUUUUUUUUUUUAUUGUAUGCUUUUUGAACAUACUGUAUACUAUGGUAAUACUAUUUAUGUAACAUGGAAAUGCCAUGUUUUUUGUGCAAGCACAUGUUCUAUGAAUGUAUGGUGAUAAAGUUUUUUGAACACGUGCCUAAGUAAUACCUUGGUUUUUGUACAAGUACCAUGGUACUUGCUUGCUUUUUGAACUUAUACCUUUGUAAUACCUGUACCAUGUUUUUCAAGGACAAGUACCAUGGUAAUUCCCUUUUUUGGACAAAUACCGUGGUUUUUGCAUGCUCUUAGAACAUAUACCAUGGUAAGGCUAUG